UCACUUUUUCACUUGAUUUUCAUAUAAUUUUAAUGUGACGGGUUAGCACCUUAUGCAACUUACCCCUAUCACCUGCUCAUUAUACUCACAUGCUCACGUGCGCCGACAAAAUACUUCUCUCCUCACACCUCCACUCUGCACCCAUGUAGUCUAAUGAUUCCUUCAUAUGUAUGUAUGUAUGUAUGUAUGUAUUUAUUUAAUAUCCCAGUGGGAUCGCGGGUGUCGCCUGCAUCCCAAAAGGCCUUGCAAAGGGCAUGAAGACAUGCUACACUGAAGGGUUUUCAAUGCCCCGGUGGCCGAAUAGGUAAUGCGGCCACCUGGUAGUGCCUUGGUGUGGGGACCAAGGUGUGUGGGUUUGAAACCCACAGGGGACAACAUUACAUCUGAAGCCAACUUUUCAGCUUCUUAAAUAAAGAAAUAUGAACUUAUUAAAU
rnacentral:sRNA from 1 species